rnacentral:rRNA from 1 species
UACGGGGGGGGCAAGCGUUGUUCGGAAUUACUGGGCGUAAAGGGCUCGUAGGCGGCCAACUAAGUCAUACGUGAAAUCCCUCGGCUUAACCGGGGAACUGCGUCUGAUACUGGAUGGCUUGAGAUUGGGAGAGGGAUGCGGAAUUCCAGGUGUAGCGGUGAAAUGCGUAGAUAUCAUCAGGAAUACCGGAGGCGAAGGCGGCUCACUGGGUCUCUUCUGACGCUGAGGAACGAAAGCUAGGGGAGCAAACGGG